CCUGUCUGUUGCUCUGUGGUAAUCAGUGUUAUCACCGUCACCUGUGAUUCCCUGUGAUUCCCAGCUCGUUAGUCUCACUCAGUCUUUGUCAGGUCAUUGUUCAGUGUUUAUUGUUGUUGUCCCUGCUCUCCUUUUGGAUCCAUCACCUCCUGCCUGGCUCUGGUUUUUCUGUGACUUGGAGCAGGUAGUCUAUCCAAACAUUGGUUGAGCACCAGGGGACAACACGCUGCUCAGGUGGCAGGACUUCAGUCUCUGAGAGGUCAAAGGUGACAGAGAUGGGUCAUUGUGGCAUCCAGGCGGAUGCUCUGCAGCAACAUCAAGGACUUCGGAUUCUUCAAAACAUGUGAGACACAUCCAACCCCCGUACACCCUCCCCUCAAACCACCCCGAUCCUCCCCCCUCUGAGGGUAAGCUGUGGUUGGGCCCUGACAUCCCAAGUAAUUUACUAAGUCAACACAGAGUGAAGAGGGCCCGUGUACUGCAGAGAAAGAUCCUCUGUGCAAAAGCCGUGGUCCCUGAGGAGACAUGGCACACCGCAGCAGAAGAGAACUGUGCUGGCAAACCCUGAAGAAAAAAUAUUCAUAGAAAACAUCAUUUUGAUGUGAACGGUGAUAAAAUGUACAAAUAGCCAGUAUAAUUCAUAGAAGUGUGCUGAUGUAUUUAAAUAAAAGUUUGAAACAUUAAAUGUUGAAA